rnacentral:tRNA from 1 species
UGGUUUGCGGGGUGUGGGUGAAUGAGUCGCAAAAAGAUUCCAUCUUUUGGGAGCAAGAGGUCUCACGUUCGAAUCGUGUCGAACCGAC